UACGUAGGGUGCGAGCGUUGUCCGGAAUUACUGGGCGUAAAGAGCUCGUAGGUGGUUUGUCGCGUCGUCUGUGAAAUUCCGGGGCUUAACCUCGGGCGUGCAGGCGAUACGGGCAAUACUUGAGUGCUGUAGGGGAGACUGGAAUUCCUGGUGUAGCGGUGAAAUGCGCAGAUAUCAGGAGGAACACCAAUGGCGAAGGCGGGUCUCUGGGCAGUUACUGACGCUGAGGAGCGAAAGCAUGGGUAGCGAACAGGAUUAGAUACCCCCGUA
rnacentral:rRNA from 1 species